rnacentral:rRNA from 1 species
UACGUAGGGUGCGAGCGUUAAUCGGAAUUACUGGGCGUAAAGAGCGCGCAGGCGGUCGUUCAAGUCGAGUGUGAAAGCCCCCGGCUCAACUGGGGAGGGUCAUUCGAUGCUGAUCGACUGGAAGGCAGGAGAGGGAAGCGGAAUUCCCGGUGUAGUGGUGAAAUGCGUAGAUAUCGGGAGGAACACCAGUGGCGAAGGCGGCUUCCUGGCCUGUUCUUGACGCUGAGGCGCGAAAGCUAGGGGAGCAAACGGG